AUAUAUGUAUAUUAGUGUUAAAUAGAUUUGCAUUGUAGCUGUGUCCCUUCCUAGCCAUGGAAGAGACCAUUUUUGUUGGCAAAGCUAUCAGCUACUUAAUUGGCAUCAGAUUCUGACUUUCACAUUCUUC